GCAGAUGAAAACAAAGUCAUUCCACCAAUGAUGCUAAGUCCCAUAAGAUAUUCACUGUGACCAGGUAUGUCCUCUUGAAUUUCCGAGAUGCCAUAAUCCAUGAGCGCGAGGUGAAUAAUGGCCAAACAGAUGGCUACUACAUAUCUACCUUCCAGCAGCAGCUGCAAGGCUGCUGGAAUGGUUGCAAACCAAGACGGAAAAAU
rnacentral:misc_RNA from 1 species